rnacentral:rRNA from 1 species
CCCGCUGAACUUAAGCAUAUCAAUAA